GACGAACCGUGCGAACGUUGUUCGGAAUCACUGGGCUUAAAGGGCGCGUAGGCGGGCCACCCAGUCCGGGGUGAAAUCUUUCGGCUCAACCGGAAAAGGGCCUUGGAUACUGGUGGUCUGGAGGAAGGUAGGGGCAUGCGGAACUUCCGGUGGAGCGGUGAAAUGCGUUGAUAUCGGAAGGAACGCCGGUGGCGAAGGCAGCCCCCUGGGUCAAGAUUGACGCUCAUGCACGAAAGCGUGGGGAGC
rnacentral:rRNA from 1 species